rnacentral:rRNA from 1 species
AGUGAACGCUGGCGGUAGGCUUAACACAUGCAAGUCGAACGGCAGCACACUAAGAGCUUGCUCUUACGGGUGGCGAGUGGCGGACGGGUGAGGAAUACAUCGGAAUCUACUUUUUCGUGGGGGAUAACGUAGGGAAACUUACGCUAAUACCGCAUACGACCUACGGGUGAAAGCAGGGGAUCUUCGGACCUUGCGCGAUUGAAUGAGCCGAUGUCGGAUUAGCUAGUUGGCGGGGUAAAGGCCCACCAAGGCGACGAUCCGUAGCUGGUCUGAGAGGAUGAUCAGCCACACUGGAACUGAGACACGGUCCAGACUCCUACGGGAGGCAGCAGUGGGGAAUAUUGGACAAUGGGCGCAAGCCUGAUCCAGCCAUACCGCGUGGGUGAAGAAGGCCUUCGGGUUGUAAAGCCCUUUUGUUGGGAAAGAAAAGCAGCAGGUUAAUACCCCGCUGUUCUGACGGUACCCAAAGAAUAAGCACCGGCUAACUUCGUG